UUUAUUUACUUGAUUUGAACAGAACAUGACAUUUUUUUUUCAUUAUAAAGUGAUCAUACAAUUUCCUAUUAGUUACAUGCAAUUAAGGAGAAUAAAAAUAUGACUAAUUAUAUCGUCAUCUUCUUUCUUGCACUAUUUCUUAUUGUAAUCGACGUGAGUGCAAUACUUGAAUGUAUUUUUGACAUUGAUUGUCCAACAAAAAAGUGUGCCCCUCCUCUUGUUGCAAAGUGUGAUAUGUAUGAAUGUUAUUGUCGAUGUCCUCCUAACAAUUAAGUCAAUCAAUACAAAGAUUCUCUUGGCAAUUCCUUCUUGAUCGCCUUUCAACAAGGAAAAAUCUUUCGAAAAGGUGUAAGGGGGUGUUGGGAUCGAGCGAUCACUUGUUCACUAAAUGUGGCUUUGCUAGUGCUCUAUAUGUCGAAGUGUUCAAAUGGCUUGGAUUGGUGAUAGAGAUUAUGGAGAAAAUCACCAAUUUGCUUGAGAUAUUUUUAUACUUUGGCUCAGAAAGGAAAUUGGGAGAAGGGGGUGUUAUUGGGUUGGCAUACAAUUUUUUGGUUAAUUUGGACGGCGAAGAAGAAUGAUAGAGUUGUUUAUGCUAAGUUAACAAAGCCUACAAACAUAGUUCAAGAAAUAAAGCGUGUGUUUGUUUCAGCUUUAAAAAAAAAAAAAAAGAUUUUGAAUUAAAAGAAUUUAGAGAUUUUGUUAAAAAUAAAGUCAACCAG